AUUGAACGCUGGCGGCAGGCCUAACACAUGCAAGUCGAACGAGGGGCGGACGGGUGAGGUAUGUCUGGGAAACUGUCCGAGGGAGGGGGCUAACUACAGGAGACGCUAGCUCAUACCGCAUACCCUCUGAUGUGUACAGAUGGGAUGAGCUAGUAGGUGGGGGAACGGCUCACCUAGGGGACGAUCCCUAGCUGGUCUGAGAGGAUGACCAGCCACACUGGAACGGAGACACGGUCCAGACUCCUACGGGAGGCAGCAGGGGGGAAUAUUGCACAAUGGGCGCAAGCCUGAUGCAGCCAUGCCGCGUGUGUGAAGAAGGCCUUCGGGUUGUAAAGUACUUUCAGCGAGGAGGCGUUACUCGCAGAAGAAGCACCGGCUAACUCCGUGCCAGCAGCCGCGGUAAUAC
rnacentral:rRNA from 1 species